rnacentral:rRNA from 1 species
CCUACGGGUGACAGCAGUGGGGGAUAUUGCACAAUGGGGGAAACCCUGAUGCAGCGACGCCGCGUGUAGGAAGACGGUCCUCUGGAUUGUAAACUACUGUCCCCAGGGACGACGAUGACUGUACCUGGGGAGGAAGCUCCGGCUAACUACGUGCCAGCAGCCGCGGUAAUACGUAGGGAGCGAGCGUUGUCCGGAAUUACUGGGUGUAAAGGGAGCGUAGGCGGGGGUGCAAGUUGGGUGUUAAAUCUACCGGCUCAACUGGUAGUCGCACUCAAAACUGCAGCUCUUGAGUGAAGUAGAGGCAGGCGGAAUUCCUGGUGUAGGGGUGAAAUGCGUAGAUAUUAGGAGGAACAUCAGUGGCGAAGGCGGCCUGCUGGGCUUUUACUGACGCUGAGGCUCGAAAGUGUGGGGAGCAAACAGGAUUAGAUACCCCAGUAGUC